AUUUUGGACAAUGGGGGCAACCCUGAUCCAGCCAUCCCGCGUGUGCGAUGAAGGCCUUCGGGUUGUAAAGCACUUUUGGCAGGGAAGAAAAGGCCAUGGCAAAUACCUGGCGCUGCUGACGUUACCUGCAGAAUAAGCACCGGAUAACUACGCGCCAGCCGCCGCGGUACUACGUAGGGUGCAAGCGUUAAUCGGAAUUACUGGGAGCAAAGCGUUCGCAGGCUGUUCGGCAAGAAGGAUGUGAAAUCCCAGGGCUUAACCUUGGAACUGCAUUCUUAACUGCCGGGCUAGAGUAUGUCAGAGGGGGGUAGAAUUCCGCGUGUAGCAGUGAAAUGCGUAGAGAUGCGGAGGAAUACCGAUGGCGAAGGCAGCCCCCUGGGAUAAUACUGACGCUCAUGCACGAAAGCGUGGGGAGCAAAC
rnacentral:rRNA from 1 species